rnacentral:rRNA from 1 species
GCAGUGGGUACGGGCAGACUAGAGUGCGGUAGGGGAGAUUGGAAUUCCUGGUGUAGCGGUGGAAUGCGCAGAUAUCAGGAGGAACACCGAUGGCGAAGGCAGAUCUCUGGGCCGUAACUGACGCUGAGGAGCGAAAGGGUGGGGAGCAAACAGGCUUAGAUACCCUGGUAGUCCACCCCGUAAACGUUGGGAACUAGUUGUGGGGUCCAUUCCACGGAUUCCGUGACGCAGCUAACGCAUUAAGUUCCCCGCCUGGGGAGUACGGCCGCAAGGCUAAAACUCAAAGGAAUUGACGGGGACCCGCACAAGCGGCGGAGCAUGCGGAUUAAUUCGAUGCAACGCGAAGAACCUUACCAAGGCUUGACAUAUACGAGAACGGGCCAGAAAUGGUCAACUCUUUGGACACUCGUAAACAGGUGGUGCAUGGUUGUCGUCAGCUCGUGUCGUGAGAUGUUGGGUUAAGUCCCGCAACGAGCGCAACCCUCGUUCUAUGUUGCCAGCACGUAAUGGUGGGAACUCAUGGGAUACUGCCGGGGUCAACUCGGAGGAAGGUGGGGAUGACGUCAAAUCAUCAUGCCCCUUAUGUCUUGGGCUUCACGCAUGCUACAAUGGCCGGUACAAAGGGCUGCAAUACCGCGAGGUGGAGCGAAUCCCAAAAAGCCGGUCCCAGUUCGGAUUGAGGUCUGCAACUCGACCUCAUGAAGUCGGAGUCGCUAGUAAUCGCAGAUCAGCAACGCUGCGGUGAAUACGUUCCCGGGUCUUGUACACACCGCCCGUCAAGUCAUGAAAGUCGGUAACACC